CAUGCCUGUAGUCCCAGCUACUCAUGUCACUGAGGCAGGAGAACCGCUUGAAUCCAAGAGGCGGAGGUUGCAGUGAGCCUACCAGCACCACGGCAUUCCAGCCUGGCGACAGUACGAGACUUCGUCUCAAAAAAAAAAGAAGCGUCUCCCCCCGUGGGGUCUGCCACAUAUACUCCAUUUAACAGUGCACAAAUGUGACCUAGGCAAGAUUUUGCAGUGUUUGUAGAACAGGGAAGGACUUGAAGGAGGAGAGCGAUGGAGGAAGGUGGCCCUCGGAAGUGACUGGAAAAGGUGUUCUGGUAGCAAAGGUGCCACUCUAUGUUAUGACUCCCCCAGCUACCAAAAACAAAGCAAACAAAAACAACAUCUGAAGCAGCUUCUGCAGGGUUGGCGAGGCUAUAAGACAAAGUACUCCCCAAAGAGGGUGCCUGUGAGAUGGGGAAGUAAAUUUAGCUAGAAGUUCCUCUGUCAGGUUUUUCUAAGAGACCUAGGAUGGAAACUGAAAGAAUCCAGACAUGUCUCUCUCUAGCUUUGGGGUAGCGUGUUUUCUAAGCUAAAGAAGAGUUGAUACCCUCCAGGUAGUCAAGAAAAUUAUUUUUCUUUCCCCUUUUCCCACCGUCCCUCUUCUUUCCCCUUUCCCCACCUUUCCCCACCAUCCCUCUUCUUUCGCCAACUUUCCUCCACCAUCCCUCUUCUGCUUUUUUUUUUUUUUUUUUUUUUUUUUUUUG
rnacentral:lncRNA from 10 species